GAUGAACGCUGGCGGCGUGCUUAACACAUGCAAGUCGAACGGAAGGGCCCAAGCUUGCUUGGGUACUCGAGUGGCGAACGGGUGAGUAACACGUGGGUGAUCUGCCCUGCACUUCGGGAUAAGCUUGGGAAACUGGGUCUAAUACCGGAUAGGACCUCUUCUUGGAUGUUGUGGUGGAAAGUUUUUUGGGUGUGGGGUGGGCUCGCGGCCUAUCAGCUUGUUUGGGGGGUAAUGGGCUACCAAGGGGUCGUCGGGUAGCCGGGCUGAGAGGGUGUACGGCCACAAUGGGAAGGGGAGUCGGGCCAGACCCCUAAGGGAGGCAGCAGUUGGGAAUAUUGGACAAAGGGGGGAAGGCUUAUGGAGCGAAGCCGCGUGGGGGAUGACGGGCUUCGGGUUGUAAACCCCUUUCGCUAGGGACGAAGCGGUUUGUGACGGUAACGGGAGAAGAAGCACCGGCUAACUACGUG
rnacentral:rRNA from 1 species